rnacentral:rRNA from 1 species
CAUUACCGAGUUUACANCUCCCAAACCCCUGUGAACAUACCUUAAUGUUGCCUCGGCGGAUCAGCCCGCGCCCCGUAAAACGGGACGGCCCGCCAGAGGACCCAAACUCUAAUGUUUCUUAUUGUAACUUCUGAGUAAAACAAACAAAUAAAUCAAAACUUUCAACAACGGAUCUCUUGGUUCUGGCAUCGAUGAAGAACGCAGCAAAAUGCGAUAAGUAAUGUGAAUUGCAGAAUUCAGUGAAUCAUCGAAUCUUUGAACGCACAUUGCGCCCGCUGGUAUUCCGGCGGGCAUGCCUGUUCGAGCGUCAUUUCAACCCUCAAGCCCCCGGGUUUGGUGUUGGGGAUCGGCUCUGCCUUCUGGCGGUGCCGCCCCCGAAAUACAUUGGCGGUCUCGCUGCAGCCUCCAUUGCGUAGUAGCUAACACCUCGCAACUGGAACGCGGCGCGGCCAUGCCGUAAAACCCCAACUUCUGAAUGUUGACCUCGGAUCAGGUAGGAAUACCCGCUGAACUUAAGCAUAUCAA